GAUUUUUAUAAGAAAUGCAUUAUUACAGCUUCUGGUCAACAAGACACUUUAUGAGAAAACCAUAGCAAGUGGCUUUGGCUCAGUUCACUUUCUUCUGGAUGCUUCUGAACAGCAGCAAUACAAGGAAGCCAUAUUGGCUUAUGCAAUCUUGCUUAAAGCAGAGACCGGCCAGG